rnacentral:rRNA from 1 species
UGGGCGCUGGAGAACUGAGGGGGGCUGCUCCUAGUACGAGAGGACCGGAGUGGACGCAUCACUGGUGUUCGGGUUGUCAUGCCAAUGGCACUGCCCGGUAGCUAAAUGCGGAAGAGAUAAGUGCUGAAAGCAUCUAAGCACGAAACUUGCCCCGAGAUGAGUUCUCCCUGAGACUUUAGGUCUCCUGAAGGAACGUUGAAGACGACGACGUUGAUAGGCCGGGUGUGUAAGCGCAGCGAUGCGUUGAGCUAACCGGUACUAAUGAACCGUGAGGCUUAACCUUAC